GACUAUCUCAAACCAAACCAUUCCCUAACUGUUAUAUCUUCACAUUUUACUCACACAGUUUUAUUUGAACAAGUACAAUCUACACCAAAAUCAUAAGUCUCACUUGGUAAAAUAUCUUUGUACCAUAUUUAGCCAACGGCUAAUUUCCCUCUGCAGUCCCCAGGCAGCUGAACAUAUACAGUGCAUUUGGAAAGUUUUCAGACCCUUUUACUUUUUCCACAUUUUGUUACGUUGCAGCCUUAUUCUAAAAUAGAUUUUUCCCCCCUAAUCAAUCUACACACAAUAACCCAUGAUGACAAAGCAAAAACAGAUUUGUAUAAAUGUUUGCAAAUGUAAAAAAAACUGACAUCACAUUUACAUAAGUAUUCAGACCCUUUACUCAGUACCUUUUGGCAGCAAUUACAGCCUCGAGUCUUCUGGGGUAUGACGCUACAGCUUGCCGCACCUGUAUUUGUGGAGUUUCCCCUCCCAUUCUUCUCUGCAGAUCAUCUCAAGCUCUGUCCGGUUGGAUGGGGAGUGUUGCUGCACAGCUAUUUUCAGGUCUUUCCAGAGAUGUUUGAUCAGGUUCAAGUCCAGGCUCUGGCUGGGCCACUCAAGGACAUUCAGAGACUUGUCCCGAAGCCAGUCCUGCGUUGUCUUGGCUGUGUGUUUAGGGUCUUUGUUCUGUUGGAAGGUGAACCUUCACCCCAGUUUUUUGGUCCUGAGCGCUCUGGAGCAGGUUUUCAUCAAGGAUCUCUCAGUGCUUUGCUCCGUUCCUCUUUCCCUCAAUCCUGACUAGUCUCCCAGUUCCUGCCACUGAAAAAUAUACCCACAGCAUGAUACUGCCACCACCACCAUGCUUCACCGUAGGGAUGGUGCCAGGUUUCCUCCAGACGUGACACUAGGCAUUCAGGCCUAAGAGUUCAAUCUUGGUUUCAUCAGACCAGAGAAUCUUGUUUUUCAUGGUCUGAGAGUCCUAUAGGUGCCUUUUGGCAACACUUCAAGUGGGCUGUCAUGUGCCUUUUUACUGAGGAGUGGCUUCCGUCUGGCCACUCUACCAUAAAGGCCUGAUUUGAUGGAGUGCUACAGAGAUGGUUGUCCUGGAAGAUUCUCCCAUCUCCACAGAGGAACUCUGGAGCUCUGUCAGAGUGAGCAUUGGGUUCUUGGUCACCUCCCUGACCAAGGCCCUUCUUCCCCGAUUGCUCAGUUUGGUCUGGUGGCCAGCUCUGGGAGUUUUGGUGGUUCCAAACUAUUUCAAUUUAUGAAUGAUGGAGGCCACUGUGUUCUUGGGGACCUUCAAUGCUGCAGACAUUUUUUGGUACCCUUCCCCAGAUCUGUGCCUCGAAACAAUCCUGUCUCGGAUCUCUACGUAAAUUCCUUCGACCUCAUGUCUAGGGUUUUGCUCUGAUCUGCACAGUCAAAUGUGGGACCUCAUAUAGACAGGUGUGUGCCUUUCCAAAUAAUGUCUAAUAAGUAGAAUUUACCACAGGUGGACUCAAAGAUGUAGAAACAUCUCAAGGAUGAUCAAUGGAAAAAGGAUGCACCUGAGCUCAAUUUCAUGUCUCAUAGCAAAGGCUCUGAAUACAUUACAUUUACAUUUAAGUCAUUUAAAUACACAGGGGAUAAUGGGGAAGAUGGGCGACACCUGGAGUGGGGGUGGAGACCGUCACAAAGACAGGUGAAACAGAUCAGGGUGUGACAAAUGCCACGGAUAUGCAUUUUCAAUGCUCUCAUUGAAGAAGCUCAGUCAGAAGCGUUUUCCUGAGCUGGAUAAGAAGAAUGAGGCAUCUCCACAUCUCCUCUGUGCAUCCCCAAAUGGAACCCUAUUCCCUAUAUAGUGCACUACUUUAGACCAGAGCCCUAGGCCCAUUAUCAGCAACCAUCACUCCUGUGUUCCAAUGGCACGUUGUGUUAGCUAAUCCAAGAUUGUAAUUUUAAAAGGCUAAUUGAUCAUUAGAAAACCCUUUUGCAAUUAUGUUAGCACAGCUGAAAACUGUCCUGAUUUAAAGAAGCAAUAAAACUGGCCUCCUUUAGACUAGUUGAGUAUCUGGAGCAUCAGCAUUCGUGGGUUCGAUUUACAAGCUCAAAACAGCCAGAAACAAAACCUUUCUUCUGAAACUCGUCAGUCUAUUCUUGUUCUGAGAAAUGAAGGCUAUUCCACGCGAAAAAUUGCCAAGAAACUGAAGGUCUCGUAUAACGCUGUGUACUAUUCCCUUCAAAGCGCAAAUUGACUUGAACCAGAAUAGAAAGAGGAGUGGGAGGCCCCCGUUGCACAACUGAGCAAGUGGACAAGUACAUUAGUGUCUAGUUUGAGAAUCAGACGCCUGAAGUGUUGCCACCACAAGUCCUCAACUGGCAGCUUCAUUAAAUAGUACCCACAAAACACCAGUCUCAACGUCAGCAGUGAAGAGGCGACUCCGGGAUGCUGGCCUUCUAGGCAGAGUUGCAAAGAAAAGGCCAUAUCUCAGACUGGCCAAUAAAAAGAAAAUAUGGGCAAAAGAUCACAGACAGUGGACCGAGGAACUCUGCCUAGAAGGCCAGCAUCCCGGAGUCGCCUCUUCACUGUUGACGUUGAGACUGGUGUUUUGUGGGUACUAUUUAAUGAAGCUGCCAUCUCCCCUCUGCUUGAAUGCAGAGGGGAGAUUAUGUUGUGUUGUUUCUUUGCAUUUCUGUCUUCCUCUGGUAAACUGAGAUGUUGGUGUAAAUAAAUUUGAGGUGUUGGCAGCUUCAUAGGCUAUUCUCGUUGACUUUGGCGACAUACUGCUCACGUCUUAUCCACAACUCUCUGUCCAUCGCCGUUGUAAUCCACUGGGGAGCCAACAUUUCCCCAAACUGGAUAUUUUAAACGAUGAUGGAGAAUCCUCCAAUGUUUAUCUGGUUUAUCGACCCCACCACUUCCCAUCUUACAGAACAGGGGGGGCCUGAACAUAAUUACAAAUUUGUAGACAGCAAAUUUACCGCAAGAAGCCCAAACAGAUAUAUUUUACUAAAACAUCAUGUCAAACCUUGCUUACCUUUUUGUAUACGAUCACAUACAGUAUAUCUCUCUCUCUCAUGUGUGGGAUUACUUUGGAACAGAUUUGCAAAAUGUAAAAUCACUUGGAGCUGAUUUGCUGGUGUUUUUACAGUCUUUUAUAUCCAACAAUUUUUUGAAUAUAUAUAUAUAUUUUUUUAAUCACACACAGUCCGCCAGUUGGGGAAUCCAGAUGUAGUUGCUUUAACAGAAUAGCUUAGAAUGUGUUUUGAGCUCAGAUUUACUCAAAAGGGAAUAGGCACUCAAUGCAGUGUAGGCAUAGGGCUAGAGUUUUUAUAUUUUGUUCAACUUUUUUUUAAUGUAUUCAAUGGGGUUCACAGUGAGGACGGAACAGAGGCCUCGUACCGAAACACCCCUGGAAGCCUGCUAUCUCCCUAGAAGCCUGCUAUCUCCUAUCUCAUUGUUCUGAACAGAGGCCUCGUACCGAACACCCCUGGAAGCCUGCUAUCUCCUAUCUCAUUGUUCUGAACAGAGGUCUCGUACCGAACACCCCUGGAAGCCUGCUAUCUCCCUAGAAGCCUGCUAUCUCCUAUCUCAUUGUUCUGAACAGAGGCCUCGUACCGAACACCCCUGGAAGCCUGCUAUCUCCUAUCUCAUUGUUCUGAACAGAGGCCUCGUACCGAACACCGCUAGAAGCCUGCUAUCUCCCUGGAAGCCUGCUAUCUCCUAUCUCAUUGUUCUGAACAGAGGCCUCAUACCGAACACCCCUAGAAGCCUGCUAUCUCCCUAGAAGCCUGCUAUCUCCCUAGAAUCCCGCUAUCUCCCUAGAAUCCCGCUAUCUCCCUAGAAGCCCACUAUCUCCCUAGAAGCCCGCUAUCUCCCUAGAAGCCCGCUAUCUCCCUGGAAGCCUGCUAUCUCCCUAGAAGCCUGCUAUCUCCCUAGAAGCCUGCUAUCUCCCUAGAAGCCUGCUAUCUCCCUGGAAGCCUGCUAUCUCCCUAGAAGCCUGCUAUCUCCUAUCUCAUUGUUCUGAACCAGCGUUUUGUGAUCCCUCCUGUUUAUCAGAUAUAAUCGCCUGUAAGAUAAACAGUUUGAUGACAAUGUCCGGUACUUUUGCGGAGUUUUAUUGUUAUUUUUUUUAAACAUUUUUUAAACCUC